rnacentral:sRNA from 1 species
CGGUGACGAUCUGCGGGCAGAUGAAGUGCACGUGGGUGUCGACCGCCCCGGCGGUGAGGAUGCGGCCGUUGCCGGCGAUGACCUCGGUGGCCGGGCCGAUCACCAGGUCGGGGUGCACCCCGUCCAUGGUGUCCGGGUUGCCGGCCCGGCCCAGCGCCACGAUCCGUCCGUCGCGCAGCCCCACAUCGGCCUUGACCACACCCCAGUGGUCGAGCACCACAGCACCGGUGAUGACGGUGUCCAGCGCGCCCUCGGCCCGGGUGGCCCGGGACUGACCCAUCGACUCG